rnacentral:lncRNA from 1 species
UCCUAUUUUGUCUUCUAAGAUUAGCAUCUAAAUCAACAACGGUGGCUUGGUCAUCAUCUGUUUCCACUCCGCCAUCAUAAGCAUCAUGGGCAAAGGCUGGUUGUCUUCUUCUUUGUUGAGAUCCAUCUUGUAACUGGGCAAGUGUUGUAUCAUGUCUUUCUAGAUGUUCUCUGACAUCUCCCAUCAUGGUAAACAUUCGUUCAAAUUGUUGCUGCAUUGCUUUGAUUACAGGAUCAUUUGACGAA